AUCGCUUCUCAGCCUUUUGGCUAAGAUCAAAGUGUAGUAUCUGUUCUUAGCUUAAUAUCUGAUACGGAGACCAUGUGUCUCCUUCGAUAUUAAGCUCAUUUUUGCUAGGGGAUGAAGUUGAGGAGCUUGCUCCGACUUUGUCAUCGGUUGGCUUAGUCUUGCAGUACUGCCAAGCUCGGCCCACUUCCC